GGACCUAGCGUAGUUCGGAAUUACUGGGCUUAAAGAGCUCGUAGGUGGUUAGAAAAGUUGGUGGUGAAAUCCCAAGGCUUAACCUUGGAACUGCCGCCAAAACUUUUUGACUAGAGUAUGAUAGAGGAAAGUGGAAUUUCUAGUGUAGAGGUGAAAUUCGUAGAUAUUAGAAAGAACACCAAUUGCGAAGGCAACUUUCUGGAUCAUUACUGACACUGAGGAGCGAAAGCAUGGGUAGCGAAGAGGAUUAGAUACCCUCGUAGUCCAUGCCGUAAACGAUGUGUGCUAGACGUUGGAAAUUUAGUUUUCAGUGUCGCAGCGAAAGCGUUAAGCACACCGCCUGGGGAGUACGACCGCAAGGUUAAAACUCAAAUGAAUUGACGGGGACCCGCACAAGUAGUGGAGCAUGUGGUUUAAUCCGAAGAUACGCGCAGAACCUUACCAACACUUGACAUGUUCGUCGCGACUUUAAGAGAUUAGAGUCUUCGGUUCGGCCGGACGAAACACAGGUGCUGCAUGGCUGUCGUCAGCUCGUGUCGUGAGAUGUUGGGUUAAGUCCCGCAACGAGCGCAACCCUUACUUUUAGUUGCUACCAUUAAGUUGGGCACUCUAAAAGAACUGCCGGUGAUAAGCUGGAGGAAGGCGGGGAUGACGUCAAGUCCUCAUGGCCCUUAUGUGUUGGGCUACACACGUGCUACAAUGGUACUUACAGUGAGAAGCGAAGAGGCGACUCUAGGCUAAUCUUUAAUAGGUAUCUCAGUUCGGAUUGCACUCUGCAACUCGAGUGCAUGAAGCUGGAAUUACUAGUAAUCGCGGAUCAGCGCGCCGCGGUGAAUAAGUUCCCGGGUCUUGCACACACCGCCCGUC
rnacentral:rRNA from 1 species